AUGCACCAGAUACAAGCCUGACAGUCGACGCAGUCCCACUCUGGGACUCUGUCAUGUGUGGCUGCUUGGGUUACACACGGUGCGAGAGCAACCUCAGUCCUGAGAUUUAAGCUUGGCAGUGGGAAGCGUCACUGUCGAGUUAUGGCUCAGAGGCACAGAG